rnacentral:rRNA from 1 species
CUGCUGUGAAACCUUGGGGCUCAACCCUAAGCGUGCAGUGGAUACUGUCAAGCUAGAGGAUGGUAGAGGCCAGUGGAAUUCCCAGUGUAGCGGUGAAAUGCGCAGAUAUCAGGAGGAACACCGAUGGCGAAGGCAGGUUACUGGGCAGUUACUGACGCUGAGGAGCGAAAGCAUGGGUAGCGAACAGGAUUAGAUACCCUGGUAGUCCAUGCCGUAAACGGUGGGCGCUAGGUGUGAGGGUCUUUUCACGACUUUCGUGCCGUAGCUAACGCAUUAAGCGCCCCGCCUGGGGAGUACGGCCGCAAGGCUAAAACUCAAAGGAAUUGACGGGGGCCCGCACAAGCGGCGGAGCAUGUGGAUUAAUUCGAUGCAACGCGAAGAACCUUACCUGGGCUUGACAUACACCGGAUUGGGCUAGAGAUAGUCUUUCCCUUUGUGGCUGGUGUACAGGUGGUGCAUGGUUGUCGUCAGCUCGUGUCGUGAGAUGUUGGGUUAAGUCCCGCAACGAGCGCAACCCUUGUCUUAUGUUGCCAGCAUUUGGUUGGGGACUCAUGAGAGACUGCCGGGGUCAACUCGGAGGAAGGUGGGGAUGACGUCAAAUCAUCAUGCCCCUUAUGUCCAGGGCUUCACACAUGCUACAAUGGUCGGUACAACGCGCAGCGACACUGUGAGGUGGAGCGAAUCGCUGAAAGCCGGCCUUAGUUCGGAUUGGGGUCUGCAACUCGACCCCAUGAAGUCGGAGUC